rnacentral:rRNA from 1 species
AUUGAACGCUGGCGGCAGGCCUAACACAUGCAAGUCGAACGAGUGGCGGACGGGUGAGUAAUGUCUGGGAAACUGCCCGAUGGAGGGGGAUAACUACUGGAAACGGUAGCUAAUACCGCAUACCAUCGGAUGUGCCCAGAUGGGAUUAGCUAGAAGGUGGGGUAACGGCUCACCUAGGCGACGAUCCCUAGCUGGUCUGAGAGGAUGACCGGCCACACUGGAACUAAGACACGGUCCAGACUCCUACGGGAGGCAGCAAUGGGGAAUAUUGCGCGAUGGGCGCAAGCCUGAUGCAGCCAUGCCGGGUGUAUGGAGAAGGCCUUCGGGUUGUAAAGUACUUUCAGCGGGGGGGCGUUACUCGCAGAGGAGGCACCGGCUAACUCCGUGCCAACCGCCGCGGUAAUUC